GUGUGUGGUGCUCUUCUUUAGAUGUUUCAAUCAUUUAAGUUUAAAUAUGAUUGAAUCAUCUGAAAGAGAGUAACACAUGA
rnacentral:pre_miRNA from 1 species